rnacentral:rRNA from 1 species
UACGAAGGGGGCGAGCGUUGUUCGGAAUUACUGGGCGUAAAGGGCGCGCAGGCGGCCUUAUAAGUCAGAUGUGAAAGCCCCGGGCUCAACCUGGGAAUGGCAUUUGAUACUCUGAGGCUGGAGUACGGGAGAGGAGAGUGGAAUUCCCAGUGUAGAGGUGAAAUUCGUAGAUAUUGGGAAGAACACCGGUGGCGAAGGCGGCUCUCUGGACCGUAACUGACGCUGAGGCGCGAAAGCGUGGGUAGCAAACAGG